rnacentral:tRNA from 2 species
GGUAGCGUGGCCGAGGGGUCUAAGGCGCUGGAUUUAGGCUUGAGUCUCUUCGGGGGCGUGGGUUCGAAUCCCACCGCUGCCA